rnacentral:rRNA from 1 species
AGAGUUUGAUCCUGGCUCAGGACGAACGCUGGCGGCGUGCUUAACACAUGCAAGUCAAGGGGGCCCAGCAAUGGGCAACCGGCGAACGGGUGCGUAACACGUGAGCAACCUACCGAAAUGCGGGGGAUAGCCGGCCUAACGGCCGAGUAAUACCGCAUACGCUCUUUAUGAGGCAUUUCAUGGAGAGGAAACCUACGGGGUAUUUCGAGGGGCUCGCGGCCUAUCAGCUAGUUGGCGAGGUAACGGCUCACCAAGGCAACGACGGGUAGCUGGUCUGAGAGGAUGGCCAGCCACAUUGGGACUGAGAUACGGCCCAGACUCCUACGGGAGGCAGCAGUGGGGAAUCUUGCGCAAUGGCCUAACGGCUGACGCAGCGACGCCGCGUGUGGGAUGAAGCUCCUCGGAGUGUAAACCACUGUUGCCCGGGACGAAUAGCUCGAUUAAUCGAGCCUGACGGUACCGGGUGAGGAAGCACCGGCUAACUCCGUGCCAGCAGCCGCGGUAAUACGGGGGGUGCGAGCGUUGUCCGGAAUCACUGGGCGUAAAGGGCGCGUAGGUGGUUUGAUAAGGGUGUGGUGAAAGUCCGGGGCUCAACCCCGGAUCUGCCGUGCCGACUGUCAAACUCGAGGACUGUAGAGGCAGACGGAAUUCCGGGUGUAGCGGUGGAAUGCGUAGAGAUCCGGAGGAAGACCGGUGGCGAAGGCGGUCUGCUGGGCAGUUUCUGACACUGAGGCGCGACAGCGUGGGGAGCAAACAGGAUUAGAUACCCUGGUAGUCC